rnacentral:rRNA from 1 species
UCUUUAUUUUAAAAAUUUUAUUACUGAAGUAGUGUGAAUAAUUAGCUUAUAAAAAGUGUUUUGUUUUAAUUAUAAAUGUUUGAAACUUAAAAGGCUUGGCGGUGUUAUAUAUCCUUCCAGGGGAGUUUGCUUAUUAAUUUGAUAAUCCUCAAUUUAUACUUACUUUUUUUUGAAUAGAUAAGAUCAGUUUGUAUAUUGCUGUCAUCAGUUUAUUUUGUAAAAAUUUUAUAAGAAACUUAAUAAUGUAUUGAUUAUAAUGUCAAGUCAAAAUGCAGCUAAUAAAAAAGGUUUAUAAAGUGAGCUACGAUUUAUAAUUUUUAAUUCGGAUUAGAUUUUUAUGUAAUUUGUUUAUGAAGUUGGACUUGGUAGUAAUAUUUAUUAAUAGUAGGUUUUUAUGAAUUAGGUUUUAUGAUGCGU